CGUAAGGUUCUCUGUGAUCACGAUGAAUGGAUAUGUCUAUAACUCUGUGACAUCAUCAGGAGAUCUGGAUCAAUGGAGGACCUGAUGCUUCUUGUCAACCUGUUAAAAGCUCCUGUGUCUCCUUGAACUGGUCUCAUCUUCGGUCCUUCAGCACAUCAGUGCAACAUGCCUCUGUCCAGACUCUUCUGGUCGUCCUCCUUCACCUCAGACCUCUACACAUCCCUCCUCUGGUCAGAAUGCAGCCUCAGCCCCCAGCUGAUGAUGCAUGAUACCUGUAUGAAAAAACAUCAGAACUUUCUUCCAGAUGAGAUUCGGUCCUGUGCUCGCUUGAGAAGACAGCAACAGGUUACUACCGGUCAUGAAAGGCCUCUACACUUACCUGCAGCUUGCCGCUGUGUGAAAGGCGGAGAUAGUGUCCACUAAACUGAAGAGGAGAGCUAAUUUAAAGGACAGUUCCGGAGUAUUUAAACUUUCCCUCAAAUGUGGUUAUAGGAGUUUGGUUGUUGCUUUACUAAUAAUAAUUAAUAUUGUUUAAUUAUUCGUUAUUCUUCUAUUUGCUUUAUUUAGAUUAGAUUUUGAUAGUUGUUUCUUUAGUUUAAUUUGAUCCAUAAUAAAAGUUAACGGGGAAAAUAACAGAACAUGAAAAGAAAAAUCUUGUUUGUGGUUCUUUUGUUGUUCAGACCAACAGUUAACACAG